rnacentral:rRNA from 1 species
GUGCCAGCCGCCGCGGUAAUACGUAAGGACCGAGCGUUGUCCGGAAUCAUUGGGCGUAAAGGGUACGUAGGCGGGUCAUUAAGUUAGAAGUUAAAGGCUAUAGCUCAACUAUAGUAAGCUUCUAAAACUGGAGACCUUGAGUAAUGGAAGGGAAAGUGGAAUUCCUAGUGUAGCGGUGGAAUGCGCAGAUAUUAGGAGGAUACCGGUGGCGAAGGCGACUUUCUGGCCAUAACUGACGCUGAGGUACGAAAGCGUGG